rnacentral:rRNA from 1 species
CUACCAUGCAGUCGAACGGUAGCACAGAGAGCUUGCUCUCGGGUGACGAGUGGCGGACGGGUGAGUAAUGUCUGGGAAACUGCCCGAUGGAGGGGGAUAACUACUGGAAACGGUAGCUAAUACCGCAUAACGUCGCAAGACCAAAGUGGGGGACCUUCGGGCCUCACACCAUCGGAUGUGCCCAGAUGGGAUUAGCUAGUAGGUGGGGUAAUGGCUCACCUAGGCGACGAUCCCUAGCUGGUCUGAGAGGAUGACCAGCCACACUGGAACUGAGACACGGUCCAGACUCCUACGGGAGGCAGCAGUGGGGAAUAUUGCACAAUGGGCGCAAGCCUGAUGCAGCCAUGCCGCGUGUAUGAAGAAGGCCUUCGGGUUGUAAAGUACUUUCAGCGGGGAGGAAGGCGGUGAAGUUAAUAACUUGACCGAUUGACGUUAGCCGCAGAAGAAGCACCGGCUAACUCCCUGCCAGCAGCCGCGGUAACACGGAGGGUGCAAGCGUUAAUCGGAACUACUGGGCGUAAAGCGUACGCAGGCGGUCUGUCAAGUCGUAUGUGAAAUCCCCGGUCUUAACCUGGGAACUGCAUUCGAAACUGGCAGGCUGGAGUCUUGUAUAGGGGGGUAGAAUUU